AACGAACGUUAGCGGCGCGCUUAACACAUGCAAGUCGAACGAGAAAGGGCUUCGGCCCCGGUACAGUGGCGCACGGGUGAGUAACACGUGGGUAAUCUACCCUCGAGCGGGGGAUAACGUUCCGAAAGGAGCGCUAAUACCGCAUAAGACCACGCUCUCGAAAGGGAGCGAGGUAAAAGUAGGCCUCUGAAUUCACGCUUACACUCGAGGAUGAGCCCGCGGCCCAUCAUGGUAGUUGGUAGGGUAAUGGCCUACCAAGCCGAAGACGGGUAGCUGGUCUUAGAGGAUGAUCAGCCACACUGGAACUGAGACACGGUCCAGACUCUUACGGGAGGCAGCAGUGGGGAAUCUUGCGCAAUGGGCGAAAGCCUGACGCAGCGACGCCGCGUGGGUGAUGAAGGCCUUCGGUC
rnacentral:rRNA from 1 species